rnacentral:rRNA from 1 species
GCUCAGGACGAACGCUGGCGGCGUGCCUAAUACAUGCAAGUCGAGCGGACAGAUGGGAGCUUGCUCCCUGAUGUUAGCGGCGGACGGGUGAGUAACACGUGGGUAACCUGCCUGUAAGACUGGGAUAACUCCGGGAAACCGGGGCUAAUACCGGAUGGUUGUUUGAACCGCAUGGUUCAAACAUAAAAGGUGGCUUCGGCUACCACUUACAGAUGGACCCGCGGCGCAUUAGCUAGUUGGUGAGGUAACGGCUCACCAAGGCAACGAUGCGUAGCCGACCUGAGAGGGUGAUCGGCCACACUGGGACUGAGACACGGCCCAGACUCCUACGGGAGGCAGCAGUAGGGAAUCUUCCGCAAUGGACGAAAGUCUGACGGAGCAACGCCGCGUGAGUGAUGAAGGUUUUCGGAUCGUAAAGCUCUGUUGUUAGGGAAGAACAAGUACCGUUCGAAUAGGGCGGUACCUUGACGGUACCUAACCAGAAAGCCACGGCUAACUACGUGCCAGCAGCCGCGGUAAUACGUAGGUGGCAAGCGUUGUCCGGAAUUAUUGGGCGUAAAGGGCUCGCAGGCGGUUUCUUAAGUCUGAUGUGAAAGCCCCCGGCUCAACCGGGGAGGGUCAUUGGAAACUGGGGAACUUGAGUGCAGAAGAGGAGAGUGGAAUUCCACGUGUAGCGGUGAAAUGCGUAGAGAUGUGGAGGAACACCAGUGGCGAAGGCGACUCUCUGGUCUGUAACUGACGCUGAGGAGCGAAAGCGUGGGGAGCGAACAGGAUUAGAUACCCUGGUAGUCCACGCCGUAAACGAUGAGUGCUAAGUGUUAGGGGGUUUCCGCCCCUUAGUGCUGCAGCUAACGCAUUAAGCACUCCGCCUGGGGAGUACGGUCGCAAGACUGAAACUCAAAGGAAUUGACGGGGGCCCGCACAAGCGGUGGAGCAUGUGGUUUAAUUCGAAGCAACGCGAAGAACCUUACCAGGUCUUGACAUCCUCUGACAAUCCUAGAGAUAGGACGUCCCCUUCGGGGGCAGAGUGACAGGUGGUGCAUGGUUGUCGUCAGCUCGUGUCGUGAGAUGUUGGGUUAAGUCCCGCAACGAGCGCAACCCUUGAUCUUAGUUGCCAGCAUUCAGUUGGGCACUCUAAGGUGACUGCCGGUGACAAACCGGAGGAAGGUGGGGAUGACGUCAAAUCAUCAUGCCCCUUAUGACCUGGGCUACACACGUGCUACAAUGGACAGAACAAAGGGCAGCGAAACCGCGAGGUUAAGCCAAUCCCACAAAUCUGUUCUCAGUUCGGAUCGCAGUCUGCAACUCGACUGCGUGAAGCUGGAAUCGCUAGUAAUCGCGGAUCAGCAUGCCGGGGGAAAACCCUUUCCCCGGGCCCUUGUACACACCGCCCGUCACACCACGAGAGUUUGUAACACCCGAAGUCGGUGAGGUAACCUUUUAGGAGCCAGCCGCCGAAGGUGGGACAGAUGAUUGGGGUGAUU